rnacentral:miRNA from 1 species
AAGUAAUUGUUUCCAUGUUGAU